AUGUGGAUGGCUCUGCCACACAAGCAAAUACCCCAAAAUUCCCUAAAAUGCGCCCAUGACUACGUAGACACUGCAAGAACCGGACAAGCCCCAAAGCACGCCCUCCAUUCUCCGAGAACGGGCGAUCGGGAAGGAGCGCGGAGCGACGCGGAGGCCCGGCGGGCCCAGCCCCGUCCCAGAGCUCAGCAGAAGCAGAGAGAGGCCCCGCCGCUCCGGAGGCCCAGCCGCACCCGCCAGGCGGUCAGGAGCAGGCACCGUCGGGGUCGCGCCGGGCGCGUCACUUCCGGAGGCGGGGCGGACUGCUCCGCACGCCUGCGUACUCCCGGCCGAGCGGCGCCCGGCGAGCAGCGGCCGGAUUGGGCCGCGCCGGAGGGCGCGCGGCGCAAACUCGCUUCCCAGCGGCCCCCGCGGCUCGUCCCGCGGCGGCGCGCACGUCCGCGCGCUCGCAGCCCGCGCCUGCGCCGAGCCGCCAUUCGGGAGGCCGCCGCGCCGCAGGGCCUCGCGGAGCAGCCCGGGACUGCGAGCCCGGCUCCCCCCGUCCUUCUCGGGUGUGGACGUCGCCGCGGCCCACCGGUGAGGAGCGGGGCGGGGCGUCGUCCGGGCUGGGCGCCGUCGCCGGCUCGGGUCCCUCUGAGGAGGCCCGCCCGGGGCGUGCGGCGAGGAGCGGCCUGCGCCGAGUCCGCGGGCGGGUGGGCCUCGGGCCGAGGCGGGCCCCGCGGCGUCGGCGUCGGCGGGGGCGGGAAGCGCAGCGCGACUCCCCUCGGGGAGGGCCGGGCCGGGCCGGGCGGGCGGGCCCCGCGAGGGAGGCACGCGCUCCACUUCGACUCGGGACGCGGCUCUCGCUGCCCUGGUCGGCGCGCGCUUUUGUCAUUGUUGCCGCUUGGAAACGGGCUGGGCAGCCCCGAAGCAGCCGGCCGGGGCUGGUGUCCACGGCGUGCGCGGAGAGCGGCGCCUCGGCGACUCGAGAGCCCGGCGUGCACGCGGCCGCGGGACGUGGGUCCGCUCGGGAGAAGCGGGGGCUGCCCGGGGCACUCCGGGCGCGCGGCCGCCGGCGGUCAGGGGGGCGCAAACCCGAGCGUGUGCCGCCCUGCCGGGGGGGGGGGGGGGGGCGGUCCGCGGGGGCGCGGAGGGCCCCGAGCCCGCGAGCCACAGCCGGGAUCCUGCAGCCCCGCUCCUGCCUCUUCACGCCGAAGAGCUGAAGCCGGGACCACGGCAGCUUUGUUCAGAGGAGCCAAAGGGGGAAAUAGUCCGAGUGUCCAUCGAGUCGGUUGUGGUCUUUGCGGUGGAAUGUGA
rnacentral:lncRNA from 1 species